UGGGGGAUCGUCUAGUGGUAGGACGGCGGGUUCUGGCCCCGCUAGCGAGGGUUCGAGUCCUUCUCCCCCAGCCA
rnacentral:tRNA from 1 species